GACGGGGGGGCAAGUGUUCUUCGGAAUGACUGGGCGUAAAGGGCACGUAGGCGUGAAUCGGGUUGAAAGUGAAAGUCGCCAAAAAGUGGCGGAAUGCUCUCGAAACCAAUUCACUUGAGUGAGACAGAGGAGAGUGGAAUUUCGUGUGUAGGGGUGAAAUCCGUAGAUCUACGAAGGAACGCCAAAAGCGAAGGCAGCUCUCUGGGUCCCU
rnacentral:rRNA from 1 species